UACGGAGGGUGCAAGCGUUGUCCGGAUUUAUUGGGUUUAAAGGGUGCGUAGGCGGCCUUAUAAGUCAGUGGUGAAAGCCCAUCGCUCAACGAUGGAACUGCCAUUGAUACUGUAAGGCUUGAGUACAGACGAGGUAGGCGGAAUUGAUGGUGUAGCGGUGAAAUGCAUAGAUACCAUCAAGAACACCGAUUGCGUAGGCAGCUUACUAGGCUGUAACUGACGCUGAGGCACGAAAGCGUGGGGAGCGAACAGGAUUAGAAACCCGGUAGUCC
rnacentral:rRNA from 1 species